CAAUAACCUAAUCAGUGAUCACAAUCAAAAUGGAUUAAUUAAAAGCGAAACAAAAACAAAAAAAAGGGUUGGGUUCAUACGGUUACUUAAUCCAUGGACAGAAACCAAAUGAGAGGGAAAAUUAAUAAGGAGAACAUUUUUUUCCCCUUUUUGUUUACUCACCAAUUCACUUAAUCGGAUUAUCCCGGGAAUCGUUUUAAAGUAUUGACAGUUUACCUUUAAUUGUGUUAAAUUUAAUUUCUUAAAAAGGAUAUGUUGUUUUCUGUUCCGUUGUUUAUGUUCAAUAGGAAGUUGAUUAUCUCCAUUAAUUGGCUUGGUGUUUUUUUCUUCUCUGUUAAUUACUUUUCUCUUUGGAUUUUGUUGCAAAUCUCUUAACCCACUCUCUCAGAUGAUUUAGAUUAUUAAUCGGAUGUGGAUUAAUGGUUUACCAUUUAGAUUAUAAUCUUAAUUGUUCUCAAGCUUCUACUACUUUGUAGCUGAUUAACUGGGAUCAUCAACUUUCGCCUGAUUUAACAAUCAACCUAAAUUUGGUUCAAUUUUUGUUUUCGCCUGUUUGGUUUAUUCAAAUGGAUUUACAAUCAUUUUAAUCCAACAAAUUAACACUCGUUUGGGUUAAUUUAGUAACAAUGAAACCAGAUUAUGGAUACUGUUGAUAUUGAUUGUAUCUAAUUAUAAUCUAUACUCUUGUUUACCAAAAAAAAAGUGAAAAGGAUCCAAGGAUGCUGAUAAGAUGAUACAGAUUAGAAGAUGUUACUCAUUCUUUCGUUAAUCUUAUCCAGAUUAAUUGUAUUUGGAUUGUAAUUUGUGUGUGUGUGGAUAGAGAGAAACAAGGCCAAGUUCAGAUUCAUCCGAAUCACAAUUAACUUAAAUUGUUUUAGGAAAAACAAUUUCAACUAAUUAGCAAGCAGCUUUUGGUUUACCCUGAAACAUUUGGAGAUGGACAAGAAUGAGAGAUAUUCAAAAUUUUUCCUUCUAAUUCUGAACAUUCUGAACGAUUAGUGAAUCUUUCCCGAACAAUGCCGACAAAACCGCUUAUUCACUUAACCUUCACUGAGAAAGUCGAAAGAUGUAAAAAUGAUUGACUCUGGAUUGGAAAAGAUUGGAAUUGAUUGUGAUGGUUAAUCAAAGUGAAAAUGGUCUAAUUUUGGGUGGAAAAUAAGUUCAAUAUUCAAAUGAGUGAAAUAGAAUCGAGGUCAAUCAAAGGAUUAUUCAUAAAGAAAACAAUACAUGGACUGAUUUCUGGACGGACAGUUGAUUUGAAUCAUCUUUACAUUGAAAAAUUAACAAUAAUCAAUAACUGUAAACUCGUUGUGUUAAUGAAAUGAUUAACAAUGAGGAGAUUCAGAGCUUCAAAAUCAUCAAAGUAAAUUGUUUUUUAUUUUGUUCGAAAUUGAUUCAAGUUAAUGAUUGUUGUUUUUGAUUGAUUAUUGAUGGUCAAUCAAGUUAUGAUUAUAAUGCACAAUCAUCAUGAAAGAAUUGGUUUUACUUUGGUUAACGAUAAUUGUCACAAUGAAUGGUCAAAUUAAUCUACAAUAGGGACGAUGGAAAUGAUGAUAAUCAAUAUUUCAAUUCGGUGAUAGCGAAAAGUACUAAUCAUAAGAAGACUAUUGAUGGAAACUAUUGUUAAUCAUGUUGAUGGAAUAAACAAUUGGAAAGACCAGCCCAAUUGACCCUGUUCAAUAUGAGAUGUAAAUUAGAAACACGAUUAGAUGAUGAUGAUUAUGAAUCUUAUUCUUCUUGGAAAACUCAUUUCUUCAAAUAAUUAUGAGAAGAUGAUGAUUUGUUUACCUGUAGAAAUCUGCAAUCUCACCAUUGUCCUAAAUCCAUGAACAAUAUGAGAAAACAAGAGAUUUAAUUUUCCAACAAAUAUUCCGAAAAAAAAAGAGUAACAAUAACAAUCAUCAGAUGACAAUUGAAUCAACUAAUGGAUUAUAAAUAUUACAUAAAGUUAUAGUCCAAGGAGAAUGAAAUUGCAAGCUGAUUACAUUAAGGAUAAGCGAUUUGACGAUGAGCGAAAUGAUUAAGAUGAUGAUUAUGAUUAAGAAUCAGAUAAUCAUCAGGUAAACCGAAUGAGCUGAAAAUGAUGAAAAACAAAAUACAACACGAAAGUUAUUCAGUUCACUAACUACGAAUUCUUCUAACCAUGCAACCUCUAAUUCUGAUUGGAAAAUGGCCUUAUAUUAUUAUCGAAACGAUAGAAUCACUUCAAUCUUCAUCUUCUCACUCUAAUCAUCACUUUCUCUCUUCUGUUGAUUACUUGUUUCGUCCUCAUCAUCAUCUUAAUUUUAUCAUUCUCUCUACUCAAUCUAAUAGCUACUCUUUAAUAACAACAACAACAACAACAUGGCUCAUCAAUUUGAUCAUUGGAACAUUUCUUAUUGAAACAACUCCAUUUUCGUAUUAAUCAAAUUUGUCCAAACGAUUAAGGUUGAUUCUAUUAUUAGUAAGUAUUAGUAGCGAUUAAUUAAAUUUGAUUGUCUGUAAAUUACAUUGAUUUUUUCAUCAUCCUGGACAAUUGGACUACAUUCAUUGAAUCUUAAUCACAAUUGAAAAGUUAGAUCAUUGUAUUUAAUGGUGACUAGUAUCAUUGUUGAUGCUUAAUUUGAUUCUAAAUUGUCUGUUAAUUUUUUCUCCAUCAUAUUUGUACAGCAAUUUGUUGAUUUAUUUCAACUAAUCGACUAUACAAUCUAAUUUUCUGGCCUUUUAUUGUCCAAUUUUUUUUCGCUUUUCUUAUAAUUGGUUUCAUAUCAUCAUGAUCGUUACAAUUGUUACAAUUAGAUUAAAUUUGAUUACAAAAUUUGUGAAAAUUAACAAUUGAUGAAGCAAUUUAACAUUAACAUUAUUGCAAAACUUUGAUCAAUGAGACUGAUGAUUAAAGCUAAUCAAAAUUGGACAAAUUAAGGCUGGACAAUCAAGAAAAGUAAUCACAAAUAACAAUUAUUAUUAGGUUGGCUUAAUUGUAAUCCCAUUUGAUCAUAAAUUGUACUACUACUACUCAGUGUUGACCAUGAAAAUUACAUGAACAAUUUAAAGUAUUAAUCAAAAAGCCAAUUGGAUGGAUUGUAAAGCCUUAAAGGAGAGGAAUUAAAUUUAAUCAUUACAACAAUAACCUAAACAAUCAACACCAAUAUUUUAAAUAGUAAAGGAGGACAAAUAUACAAAUUAAAAAAAGGCUUAAUUGUUGUGUAUUAUUAAAAGAUACACUUGACAACGGAAGAAAGGAAAGGAAACACCACAACAAUUAGAAUCACAAUUAAGCUAACCUCAUAUUGAAGCGGCAAAAAACUGACCUUUACCAAAGUAAUUAAUAAUUUAAGUGAUUGGAGUAAGAAAGAAAAACGGAUUUACCGGUUAAUUGUUGUAAUUAAGCUUAGUAUCAAUACUAGCGAGGUUAAUCAUUUAUAUUAAUCAUUUGUCCUUUAAUUAUGAAUGGACAUUAUUUGUUCAAGUGAUAAUAUUAUUAUUAAUUAACAUUAAUCACACAAUUAACCGUUGAGUGACCAAGUAAAAAUGUCAAAUGAUUAAAAGGUUGAUUAAAACGUGAUUAGAAUUAAAUUGUAAUGAUAUGUAAAUAUUGGGUUAAAUUGUCAACGGAAAACAGACCAAUUCCAGGUAAAUUAUUAUCACAAUUUAAUUGUGAUUAGAAUCAUUUUGAUUAACUUAUAAUUUGCUUUUUGUUCAAAUUGUUGGUUUUCAAUCAACAACUUCAAUAUGAUUGUGAUUAUCAUUUUGGAGAUGAUUAGUUGAUUAUACAAAACAAUGAAUCAAAUUAAGUUGAGACUGUUAAAUUGUGAAAAUUAUAUUCGUGAUUAACUAAACAAAUCAUAAUGAUAACAAUUUAAAAUUUAUCUCAUCUUUUUUACUUUCACGUUUAAUAUUUAAUUAAAAUUGAUUGUAAAUCAACAAAAGUGAUAUCAACAGAUUAACAAUCAAGUAAUAAACAAUAGUAAUCAAAUUGACAGGCAAUAAAUUACAAACAUGAUUACAAUUAGUAAAUUGUUGAUUAUUAAAUCAUCAUCAUGGUCAACUGAUUAACUGAUUACAAUUAACUUCAUCAUUUUUUUUUCAAACAUUUGAUUAACUUUGACCUAAACUUUAAUCAUUUGAGUGUUAAAUUGUUAACAAUUUGAUGAGCCUUUUACUUUCACCUUGAUUGUCAAUCUGAUUGAUUUUAAUUCAAUUUCAUUUUUAAUUGUUUCUCACUUAUUGACAAUUUAAAGUUUCUAUUAUUCGAGUGUUUUAUGAUUAAGACAAUGAUUAGAAUUGAUUGUCACUAACAAAAUGU